rnacentral:rRNA from 1 species
UACGAAGGGUGCAAGCGUUAUCCGGAUUCAUUUGGGUUUAAAGGGUGCGUAGGCGGGGCAAUAAGUCAGUGGUGAAAUCCUGCGGCUUAACCGUAGAAUUGCCAUUGAUACUGUUGCUCUUGAGUAGGCUCGACGUGGGCGGAAUGUGCCGUGUAGCGGUGAAAUGCUUAGAUAUGGCACAGAACACCGAUAGUGAAGACAG